AUUGAACGCUGGCGGCAUGCCUUACACAUGCAAGUCGAACGGCAGCACGGGGCAACCUGGUGGCGAGUGGCGAACGGGUGAGUAAUGCAUCGGAACGUACCUUUCAGUGGGGGAUAACGUAGCGAAAGUUACGCUAAUACCGCAUAUUCUGUGAGCAGGAAAGCAGGGGAUCGCAAGACCUUGCGCUGAUUGAGCGGCCGAUGUCAGAUUAGCUAGUUGGUGAGGUAAAGGCUCACCAAGGCGACGAUCUGUAGCGGGUCUGAGAGGACGAUCCGCCACACUGGAACUGAGACACGGUCCAGACUCCUACGGGAGGCAGCAGUGGGGAAUGUUGGACAAUGGGGGCAACCCUGAUCCAGCCAUGCCGCGUGAGUGAAGAAGGCCUUCGGGUUGUAAAGCUCUUUCGGCCGGGAAGAAAUCGCACGGGCUAAUACCCUGUGUGGAUGACGGUACCGGAAUAAGAAGCACCGGCUAACUACGUGCCAGCCGCCACAGUAACAC
rnacentral:rRNA from 1 species